rnacentral:rRNA from 1 species
UACGUAGGGGGCAAGCGUUGUCCGGAUUUAUUGGGCGUAAAGAGCGUGUAGGCGGCCAGACAGGUCCGUUGUGAAAACUCGAGGCUCAACCUCGAGAUGUCAUCGGAAACCAUUUGGCUAGAGUCCGGAAGAGGAGAGUGGAAUUCCUGGUGUAGCGGUGAAAUGCGCAGAUAUCAGGAAGAACACUAAUGGCGAAAGCAGCUCUCUGGGACGGUACUGACGCUGAGACGCGAAAGCGUGGGGAGCGAACAGG